AGCACUCUGGAGAAUCUCUUUAAUGAGUGCCGAAGGUGCAAAGCGGAUUUUAAAUCCGAUAAUCUCUCAGGCAAAAGGACAGAGGC
rnacentral:ncRNA from 1 species